rnacentral:tRNA from 1 species
GCUGGUGUGGCUCAGUGGUUAGAGCCUCGGCCUGCGGACCGAAGGGUCCCAGGUUCGAUUCCUGGUCAAGGGCA